GUCUAGGGAAACUAGCCUGAAUGGAGGGGGAUAACUACUGGAAACGGUACCUAAUACCGCAUAACGUCGCAAGACCAAAGAGGGGGACCUUCGGGCCUCUUGCCAUCGGAUGUGCCCAAAUGGGAUUAAUAGUAGGUGGGGUAACGGCUCACCUAGGCGACGAUCCCUAGCUGGUCUGAGAGGAUGACCAGCCACACUGGAACUGAAACACGGUCCAAACUCCUACGGGAGGCAGCAGUGGGGAAUAUUGCACAAUGGGCGCAAGCCUGAUGCAGCCAUGCCGCGUGUAUGAAGAAGGCCUUCGGGUUGUAAAGUACUUUCACCGGGGAGGAAGGCGAUAAGGUUAAUAACCUUGUCGAUUGACGUUACCCGCAGAAGAAGCACCGGCUAACUCCGUGCCAGCAGCCGCGGUAAAUACGGAGGGUGCAAGCGUUAAAUCGGAAUUACUUGGGGCGGAAAAGCCGGCACGGCAGGACGGUCUGUCCAAGUCCAGAUGUGAAA
rnacentral:rRNA from 1 species